GACUUGUAAGUCAAUCGGCGGCGAUGGGUUGGAACUCUGCAUCUUCUCUGGAUAGCUUGUCAUCCAAGGUAAGCUUUCUACUAAAGACACCAAUUAGCAGAAAUAUAAGAUCUGAACGGUAUCUAAGCCUUAUACCAACUAAUUGGGGCCAGCUACAUGAAUCCUGUUUUCGCUACAUGAAUUUGGUUUGGAAGUCUAUCUGUGGCAAGUCUGUGAAUCAAUAACGAGAUUCCAUGUUCAUGGUGUUAGAUUUAUGUAUAAAUUUGAAGCUACUUAGUAGUUUUUUUCCUCACUGAACCACUUGUCUGAUUAAAUUGUCAAAAAUGUACAUUUCUUCUGUUUUAUAUUCUUGAGCCCAGGGCAUGUGUGAUGGAUGAAGUACUUGCGAUACUAAUAGGAGCAUUGCAGGGAGGCUUCUCUCUUUCCAACAGCUCCCUCCCCCAGCUUCGGGCUACCAGAAAGGCCUUCUUAGCACCCACCCUGUGCAGUAGUGUGGCCUGCGCACUCGGUGAAUAUGAUAUCCAAGCCUUCCAACAGUUACGCCCCCACCAUGAUGAUCAAGACAGACAAAAAAUCAGACUGAUCCAAUCAUUUGGUGAGCCAUAACAUAGAAAUCAAUGUAUGCUACUUAGUGGGCAUGAUUCAUGAUUUUGGAAUUUUUGCCUCUUGAGGUAUUGCCAUCUUUGCUUCUCCAAACACAUCCAAACUGAGUUAAAUGACAUAUCACAAACAUUGCCAUA